rnacentral:tRNA from 1 species
GCGGGAGUAGCUCAGUUGGUAGAGCAUCAGCUUCCCAAGCUGAGGGUCACGGGUUCGAACCCCGCCUCCCGCUCCA